UAUAUAUAUAUAUAUAUAUAUAUUACAGUUUUCUGAGAAUUCCUGAGUACAUAAUUGGCUAUAAUAGAGAUUUGAAAUGCCAUUUUUCUUUACUUCUACAAGGCACAUUAAAAGCUGUGACACCUUUUCCCCUAAAAUCUUAAGGAAAAUGUUAAUUACCAGAUUGUUUUUGAAAUUUUGUGAGAAAUUUUUAUUUAAAGAUGUAAUGUGCCACUAACAGCUCCUAUAACAACUACAAUAUAAUAAUUAUAAUAAUAACAAUUUACCAUUUUCAGUCAGGUUUUAGUAUUCACAUUCCUCCUCUGCCAGUUUUCAGACAAAUGACAAGUCCUGCCUAAAUUCAAGCCAUUGGUUGAGCCAGUGUUGCUGCUGGGAUGCUCAAACAAAAAAAGAGCAGUGUUUUAACAGAGCAAUAGUGCUACACCUUUCUUGAGAGAAAAAAGCCCAUCUUUAAAAAGUCUAUUCAAACAACUGAGCAAAAUCCCUGGAACAAUCACACCAGACAUUUUGCCUUUGAACAGUCACUCGGGAGAGUCGCUGGUGGCACUGUAGCCACUCAAGAAGCAGAAAAAAGGGUUCGGAGUCAAAUAUUUUCCAAGAAACUACUGCUUUACAUGUGAGGUUGCUGGUGAGAGCUGCACCUGAGAAACACGUUCAUUUUUAGAAUCUCUCAUCUGUGAUGUGUGAAAGAGCUUUCACACACUUGAGAAGAGUGUGUGAGAAGACAAGUGCAAAUGUACUUCAUAUUUGGGGGGGGGGGGGGGGGUUGAUUCCCUUCUGUCUAAAAAUAGGGAAAAGGGUUCAUACAUUCAUAUGCUCUUACAGUUUGCUGUUCUUUUACAAUAUACAGUAUGUGUAUAUGUACAUAAAUAUAAAAAUUCAGGGCCAGAAAGAUUUUAUUUUAUGAAAGAAAUUAGUACUUUAAUUCAAUAAUAAAUUGACGCAUUAAAUUGAUCGAAACAACAGUAAAGAUUUACUAAAGAUUUCUAUUUCAAAUAAAUGUUGUUGUUUUUUUGUUUGUUUGUUUGUUUUACUUUGAACAUCAAAGAAUCCUGAAAAAAAAAUGUUUUUUGUUUUCCACAAAAAUAUUAAGCACAACUAUUUUCAACACGGACAAUAAUAAGAAAUGUUUUUUGAGCAGCAAAUCAGCAUAUUAGAAUGAUUUCUGAAAGAUCAUGUGAAGACACAUAAUGGCUGCUGGAAAUUCAGCUUUGCCAUCAAAAAUUCUAUUUUAAAAUAUAUUACAGAGUUCUUUCAAUUUGUAAUAAUAUUUACUUACUGUAUUUUUGAUCAAAUAAAUGCAGACUUAGUGAACAUAAGAUACUUAUUUAAAAAAAUAUAUAUCUUAUUGACCCCAAACUUAAAUUUAAAAUACAUAAUUAUAUUACUUUAAUGAUGCUUUUAUAGUCCUUAAAAUGACCAGUGCAUCCUUCAAAAUUCUUCCUUUUGUGUCACACAAAAGAAAAUAAAAAGUAUACAGUUUUGGAACAAUAUAUAACAACCACAUUUCUUUCUGGGUCUCUUUAAGGAGUGAGGAAAGUGAUUUCAUGGGAGUUCAGCUAGAACCCGUGUCACAGUGUCGGCUCACAUCCUGCCAUCCCUCAGGAAUCGGUGUCUCAUUCAGCACCCGCUGUGACACAGUCUGGCUCAAGUGCUCUCUGUCUUUCUAUCACUCUCUGUUUUUCUCUCCUCAUCUCUUCUCCCUGUGUCACAGGAGCGUGAGUUCCAGCUGGCCUACUUACACUGUCCUCUGAAUACACUCGCUGUAAAACUCGGCUCUCACUGGGUCACUCUAAUUGGAUUAGCGAGAUGGAGGGACCUUAAACCCAAUCACAAACACAUAACCCUUGAUUUCACCUCCAGAAGACAGUGCAGGGCUUGAAGAAGCACUAAGAAGACUCACCUGACAGACCAGCAACAAGCUCCUUCGAAGACACUUCAUGUACCUCUUUAGCCAUCUUGCAAACAUUACUCUUACAAAAUGGAUUUUUUUCUUAAGACUAAAGGAGAAUGUCUGAAAGGAUGUGUAUCAUGUUGAAAGAGUGAAAGAACAAAAACACAGACUCGUGAGUGCAUACAUAGUGCCUUGAGAGUCCCAUUUCCCUCUUGAAAACCACUUGACCCUUAUGAAACCUCCGAGCAAUAUCGUGAGGGAACAGGUUUGAGCUCAGAGACACAUUUUUAGCAUCUUCAUUGCUCUGUGAUUGUCAUUAACACCUGUGUGUCAUUGUCCUGAGAAGCAAGGUGCUGGUAGAACUUGCCCUUAAAAGCGCUGAGUGAUGCUAACAAACUCAGAUUUGUCUUUGACCUCUGACCUUGUCAGCUGAACUUAUUCCAGCUCAGUUUCCAGAGAGUUCAAUUAGAUGAUUGGCUCUCAGAGGAUUCCGGCGAGUCCCAACAAGCCAAUCAACGAUGACGAAAAUUGCGUCCUGUUGAGAAUAUUACGCAGCAAUUUUCAGCUAAGAUUCCCUCUGGAAAGCCCUGAGAGUUAAAUGAGAAAAUGUGCAGUCAAUGUACACACAAAUGCAUUGUGUAUC
ensembl:lncRNA